rnacentral:rRNA from 1 species
UACGGAGGAUCCAAGCGUUAUCCGGAUUUAUUGGGUUUAAAGGGUGCGUAGGCGGCCUGUUAAGUCAGGGGUGAAAGACGGUAGCUCAACUAUCGCAGUGCCCUUGAUACUGAUGGGCUUGAAUGGACUAGAGGUAGGCGGAAUGAGACAAGUAGCGGUGAAAUGCAUAGAUAUGUCUCAGAACACCGAUUGCGAAGGCAGCUUACUAUGGUCUUAUUGACGCUGAGGCACGAAAGCGUGGGGAGCAAACAGG